GCUGAUAUCUAGUUUUAAAAGCCAAUUUUUUGUGGUUUUUAAUAGAGAUUGCUUUGAAUCUGUAGGUCCUGGAGAAUAUGGUCAUCUUUAUAAUAUUAAGUCUUUUGACUUACAAGCAUGAAAUAUCAUUAGUUAGAUGUUUUAACCUAUCUUUUAAUUUCCAGGCACAGAGGCAUAUACCUGUAAUCCAAUCUCUCUGGGAGGCUGAAGCAAGAGUCACGACUUCAAACCUAGCUGAUAGACAGAGACUUACAGAGUUCCUAUUUCAAAAAAACAUGGCUUGGAUGAAUCUUAGUGCAAAGGCCUUGUGUUCAUUGUUCAAUAUUGCUAAAAUCAUAUCAAAACAAAGCAAAACCAAGAAAACCCCUUUCAUAUUUUUCAGAAUAUCUAGCAUUUCCCCCUUAUCCCAAAUACUUUAUUCUUUUUGAUAGCAUUGUAAGUGAAUUUGUUUUAAAAUUUUAUUUUCAGCUUGUUAGUUGCUAGUAUAUAAAACUGAAUUUUGUAUAUUUAUCUUGUUUUUUUGAAAACUCACUACCUGGGAUUUAAGUCAGUGGCAUAAGCACUUGCCUGGCAAGUGUGAGGUCACAAAUUCAAUCCCCAGUACAAAAAAAAAAGAAAGAAAGAAAAAAAGAAAAGAAAAGAAAAGAAAAGAAAACUGACUAGUAUUAAUUCUUGUUAAAGAGUUUCUUAGGAUUUCCUGUGUGCAAUUUCAUGCCAUCAUAGAGACAGUUUCACUUCUUCCUUUGUAAUCUAGGUAAUUUUAUUUCUUUUCUGAGCCAAAUAUGCCUGGCUAGAACCCUUAGAACAAUGUGGAGUAACAAUGACAAGAGUAGACAUUCUUGCUUUCCCAUGACUUUAGGGUAAAGCAUCUAGAAUUUCACAACUAAAUAUAAUGUUAGCUCUGGAUUUUUUCAAAGAUGCCCUUUUAUCAGUCUAAGAAAGAUGCAUUCUACUUCUACUUCAUUAAAUUUUUCAUCACAAAAAGUGAGUUAAGCUUGUCAAAUGCCUCUUCUAUUUCUAUUGAGAUUAUCAUGUGGUGUUUGUUCUACAUUCUGUUGAUGUGAUGUACGCCAUUAGUUCAUUUGGGGAAUUUAAUUCAAUUUUGUAUUAUGGCUAUAAAUUUCACAUAGUAAGGAUUAGUUCUUGCAUUACUGGAUUUGGCAGUUCAACAAUCAUUAAUAUUUUGUAGAGGGUUAUUAAUUCUGUAGUAAGAAGAUACAGAUCUGUAGUGUCUCGUCUGGUUUUGGUGUUAGAGUAACAGCGGCCUCACAGAAUUUAUACAGAUAUGUAGAUAAAUAUAUAUAUAUCUUCCAAAUCGUUUGAAUGUGGUGGUUUGCCCUCUCCAAAACUCAUGUUGAAAUUGAUUGCCACCCUGGUGGUGUUGGGUGGUGAGGCCUAGUGGCAGGUGUUAGGUUUGUGGCGUUUUAGCGUGAAUAUCACUCCUGUCAGGACUGUGGUGAUCGGUGAUUGCUCCUGUAAGAGCAGCUUGUUGGGAGGCAAGGCUGCCCUUUGUGUUUGUCCUCUCUGCAGGUCCCUGGUCGCCCUUCACUUCUUGCCAUGAGGUGAAGUCUCAAGAGGGGCUCACCGGGAGCACAGAAGGUACCUGUGAGAUGGUCUUCAGCUUCCUAGCCUCCAGACUGUCUGCCAAAGAUAACCUUGCAAGGAAUAAUGGACCACAGAACAAAAGAGCACAGAACAAAAAAUAUGGUUGCAUAUAUUUUACCUAAAGAAAGCAGGAUAUUAUAAUAGGAUACCUGCUGGAACACCAAGUAUCAGGUUGGCUUUCCAACUGCAUUCCGAAAGGGAGUAAGGAAGAAAGAGGAGAGCAUCAGCCUCCUCUUUCCAAGUGCAUGAGCAUGGAACCAGAUCAAUAUCCACAUCCCAGGAAUCAAAGGAGCUCAGGUUGGGACUGUUCCAGAUACCAGAUGACCUUGAUUUUUCAACAUCCCAUGCAUAGUUAAUGAAGGAAGGAGAGAGAAAAGGAAGGAAAGAAGGAAAAAAGGAAGCAAGAGGAACUUAAAAGUGGAGACUCUGUUUCACAACUGACACCAGCCUCUUUGUGAAUAAUGGAACAUUACACCCGCAGUCAUUCUCCACUGGACUCUGUGGUUGGCAGAUGCACCAGAGGACCACGUGGUCAGUGCACACAGGCUCUUCUGCCCAGAGGCAAUGCUGCAGAACUUAUUACAUGACAACUUGCUUGCCAGUGAACCUGGACAAUAGAGGUCUCCAGUUGGGGCGUAAUGAUUCACCAGUGAUAUUGACUCAUGGGAAGUGAUUCAUGGCAGACUGAAAACUUCACCUUCAAGAAUGGAAGAUUUUCAUCAAAUCUGACAGUGUGAAUUAUUUGUAUAAGAACUAUUCUUCUAACUACUCUACACAUUAGAAACAAAUGGUUGUGCCACCUGCAUAAGUGAUGUACAAGAUUAUUUGCUGCAAGUAACAACGGGUGUGAUGUUUCUAAUCUGGAACAUAUCAGUCAGAAGAAUACAGGUUGCUUAUAACUCCUGGCAAAGCAACAAGAAGGAUUUAAAGGCAACAGGAUCAAACCAGUAGAAAAAAACAGAGGAAAUGGAAAAAUUUAGAAAAUUUAAGAAAUGGAAAUAUGCACCAUGAAGAAAAAAGUAAAUUAGACAUUUCUCAGUAGAAGUCACUCGGGAGAUUUUGUGGGCAGAAAACUUCAUCCUAACAGGAGCUAACCUGGGUGCCAGCUCUGCUCACAUGGCAGUGUACUGGAGCCGGCUAGGAUGGGCUUGUGAGUUGUCACUGGGUGCAUCUGUCCUCGGUUUUACCAUCAAUAAAGUUUUAUGGUGGAAAGAUUUACA